GCCUCUGGCUACAAACUUUACUUUCAAUUCUGUGGCUUUCAAAAAAGUUGCUUCUCUGGAAACAUUUCAUAAUGUUGUAAUUGAAUGUGUACAUUCUUAAUUAAGGCCGAUCCUUCUUACCGAUGUAGAUUUAUAUUUCUUAUAUUCAGCUUUGGUGGAAGUCAGAUCAGGUAAGGGAAGGAAUGCAAACUGGCAUUCAUUUCUUUUAUUUCCAAACACUCUGAAAGGUGGAUUCUGCUCAUUUCAGCUGCGCUAAUGAUUCAGUUUGUUAAUUUCUUCUAAGAAGUUAAUGAGCAGAAGUUUCUCAGCCUCCUUUGCCACAGAUGACUACAUUCUGCCAAUGACAUGAGGGCUGAAGUGUGGGGUGUCCACUGAAAGGAAUUGAGAGGGAAAGAAUCUACUUGAAGAACCAUCCUUCCCCCAUUUCUUCCUGCUAGGAAGCAAAGGAAUCUAGGCUUCAGAGUCAUCAUAAGGGACAAAGAAGAUGACUACGAAGUUGUCUUGUAAUGAGGAAAUCUGAACACAAAAUUUUCCGUAAGUGUUCUUUGGCUGUGCGCCACAAGCGUUUGGAGAUGAGUAAAUCCAGUUCAAUCCACUUCAUUUAUGGACUUGGAAAUGGAGGCACCAAGAGGUGUAUGCGGUGCCCAAGUUCCACAGCAAUGCAGAGAGAAGAACGCCAUGCUGUUAUAAUUCAGCCAUGCCAUAUUUAAUUUCUACAACAAGUGGUGUGGCCAACUGACCCUCUUCUCUGUAACAAAAGCUAGAGACUUCAUCUGACCUGGAAACACCUCCUGCCAAUAAAGUAGGAAUACUUGAUUCUACCUGCCGCACAGGGACCCAUUUCAAAGGAAAUUUUUGACCCAGCUGUCAUUCACGCUUAAUUUAUAUGCUAGAAAGACCCUUAACCAGAUGCCACGUAUUUCUUGUUGAAGUGAUUCAUCAUCUUCCAGAAGUAAUACAAUCAUCUCUCGUGUGGGAAAAGAGAAAGAAAGUGAUGAACUCCAUCUAAGUUCAAUUGGACCUAAGAUCAACCCAGAGAUGACCCUGAUAUCCAGAGAAGCAUGAUCUUCAACCUUCAAGAAAUUCUGGAGUUAGUGAAGGAAUGAAGGCUCAUAUAACUUGGUAACUUCUCCACAGUGAAAAUUUUAUGAAGUACUAUCUGAAAAUGCUGAUGUAGAAAGAUUAACUAAUCAAGAUCAUGCAGCUCUACUUGAAUUACUAGAAAGGAACCAGGAGUGGUCGUGUAAAAUACGUCUCUCAACUACCACACAAGCCCCUGAAAUCUCAUCUCACCUUCUGAGAACAAUGUGUAACAAAUUAAAGCUGGUUCAUGAAAUGUCACACAAUCUGGCAGCAAGAUUCUAAUUGAUGAAGAAGUGGCUAUUUUAAUGAUUCUUUAACAAGCAUAGAAAAAUUUCAAUUACUGAGAACCGUGACAAAAACUACCUGAAGGGAACAAAAUCAUUUCUAACGGUUUUCUUUAACCAACUCCCAGGUCUUGAUGGAAAAUUUCUGACCUAUUCACAUUGUUUUCCAUUUAGUUUGGUGGAGGGGAUAGGAAACUGACUUGUUCUAUGAAUACUGAAAUCAAAAUCAUGUUCAAAAUUAAGAAACAUAACUUAUGUAUUCGCUUGACCUUGAUCACCACUAACUCACACCCACUCUUCGCCUCUCAUGGAUUCAGUGAUCAGUCUUGGUCUCGGAAUUUUAAAUGUGUGAAUUUGGGUUACAUUGAUGCCCUGGCCACCUGUGUGUCUCCAUGACAGGA